CGGCUAUAUAAAGAGUAUAACGAAGGAGAAAUAAAAUGUGUCAAUAAAAAGUUCGCAUAUACAAAUUGAGAUUAACCAGUUGCGAUAAAGAUCCAAGCAAAUAAUUUACAACGCCUGUGAUUAGUGAAGACGCCAAAACAAUAUCAUAGCAUCUAUGCACGUGCAACAAUGAGAAUUCUGCAAGUGAUCAAUACAUACCAUGGAAAGAAUUUUUGUUGACCGAUCAAAAAGGAAUGUUCGUGAUACAUCAAGUAAUUUUUAAGAAGCUUAUGAUGGGAGCAAGAAUUUUGGACUUUACCUCCUCUCUAAAUGAAUUUAGUUUAAUUAAUCAACUAAGAAAUGAGCAGAGAAGCCCAUAAUCUGUGUUGAUUAAUCAACUUAGAGAGGAUAAAAGAAAGAAAAAGUUCACAGCGAACAGCAAAGCCGACCAACAACACCAUGUUCUUUUGUGACGAAGUUUCAAUGGGGUUGGACAUGGAGAGCGCUACUUUUCGAAAUGUUGUGAAUACAGGGUGUUAUGUAAAAUUAUUUAUAAAUGUAUGACUAGAAGGUCAAAAAUAAUAUAUUUACAAUAAAAUAUUUUGAUAUAAACUCUUAGUGAUCAGAUUGUGAAAUGUAUUAUGUUUGUAGCUUGUAUAAAAUACAUCAAAAAUACAAAAAUAACAAAAAAUUCACACAUAAUUUUUUAGUA